AGAGUUUGAUCCUGGCUCAGAACGAACGCUGGCGGCAGGCUUAACACAUGCAAGUCGAGCGCUGUAGCAAUACAGAGCGGCGCACGGGAGAGUAAUACAUGGGAACCUACCUUUUGGUUCGGAAUAACGUCGGGAAACUGACGCUAAUACCGGAUACGUCCUUCGGGAGAAAGAUUUAUCGCCGAUAGAUGGGCCCAUGUUGGAUUAGCUAGUUGGUGAGGUAACGGCUCACCAAGGCUACGAUCCAUAGCUGGUCUGAGAGGAUGAUCAGCCUCACUGGGACUGAGACACGGCCCAGACUCCUACGGGAGGCAGCAGUGGGGAAUAUUGGACAAUGGGCGCAAGCCUGAUCCAGCCAUGCCGCGUGAAUGAUGAAGGCCUUCGGGUUGUAAAGUUCUUUUGGCAGGGACGAUGAUGACGGUACCUGCAGAAUAAGCUCCGGCUAACUUCGUGCCAGCAGCCGCGGUAAUACGAAGGGAGCUAGCGUUGUUCGGAAUUACUGGGCGUAAAGGGCGCGUAGGCGGCUUGGCAAGUUGGGUGUGAAAGCCCAGGGCUCAACCCUGGAAUUGCACUCAAGACUGCCUUGCUUGAAUUCGGUAGAGGUUGGUGGAAUUCCCAGUGUAGAGGUGAAAUUCGUAGAGAUUGGGAAGAACACCCGUGGCGAAGGCGGCCAACUGGACCGACAUUGACGCUGAGGCGCGAAAGCGUGGGGAUCAAACAGGAUUAGAUACCCNNGUAGUCC
rnacentral:rRNA from 1 species